CCAUCGAAUCUUUGAACGCAAGUUGCGCCCGAGGCCAACCGGUCGAGGGCACGUCCGCCUGGGCGUCAAGC
rnacentral:rRNA from 1 species